GGACAGAGUGGAAAUGCCCAAAAUCAAAGAUGCUUCAGGAAAGGGUGGAAAGUUUCCACAGUUGGUGACGAUUUGAGGUUUUAUGAAGUCUGAUAUUUUCAACAU